rnacentral:rRNA from 1 species
GCGCGGGGCAACCUGGCGGCGAGUGGCGAACGGGUGAGUAAUAUAUCGGAACGUACCCAGAAGUGGGGGAUAACGUAGCGAAAGUUACGCUAAUACCGCAUACGAUCUACGGAUGAAAGUGGGGGACCUUCGGGCCUCAUGCUUUUGGAGCGGCCGAUAUCUGAUUAGCUAGUUGGUGAGGUAAAGGCUCACCAAGGCGACGAUCAGUAGCUGGUCUGAGAGGACGACCAGCCACACUGGAACUGAGACACGGUCCAGACUCCUACGGGAGGCAGCAGUGGGGAAUUUUGGACAAUGGGCGCAAGCCUGAUCCAGCAAUGCCGCGUGAGUGAAGAAGGCCUUCGGGUUGUAAAGCUCUUUUGUCAGGGAAGAAACGGCUCCGGCUAAUAUCCGGGGCUAAUGACGGUACCUGAAGAAUAAGCACCGGCUAACUACGUGCCAGCAGCCGCGGUAAUACGUAGGGUGCAAGCGUUAAUCGGAAUUACUGGGCGUAAAGCGUGCGCAGGCGGUUUUGUAAGUCUGACGUGAAAGCCCCGGGCUCAACCUGGGAAUUGCGUUGGAGACUGCAAGGCUUGAAUCUGGCAGAGGGGGGUAGAAUUCCACGUGUAGCAGUGAAAUGCGUAGAGAUGUGGAGGAACACCGAUGGCGAAGGCAGCCCCCUGGGUCAAGAUUGACGCUCAUGCACGAAAGCGUGGGGAGCAAACAGGAUUAGAUACCCUGGUAGUCCACGCCCUAAACGAUGUCUACUAGUUGUC